rnacentral:rRNA from 1 species
UACGAAGGGGGCUAGCGUUGUUCGGAUUUACUGGGCGUAAAGCGCACGUAGGCGGGUCGUUAAGUCAGGGGUGAAAACCCGAGGCUCAACCUCGGAACUGCCUUUGAUACUGGAGACCUUGAGUUCGGGAGAGGUGAGUGGAACUGCGAGUGUAGAGGUGAAAUUCGUAGAUAUUCGCAAGAACACCAGUGGCGAAGGCGGCUCACUGGCCCGAAACUGACGCUGAGGUGCGAAAGCGUGGGGAGCAAACAGG